rnacentral:rRNA from 1 species
ACGGGGCGCAGCAGGCGCGAAAACUUUACAAUGCGGGAAACCGCGAUAAGGGGAUACCGAGUGCCAGCAUAUUAUGUUGGCUGUCCACAUGUGUAAACGGCAUGUGUUAGCAAGGGCCGGGCAAGACCGGUGCCAGCCGCCGCGGUAACACCGGCGGCCCGAGUGGUGAUCACUUUUAUUGGGUCUAAAGGGUCCGUAGCCGGUUUGAUCAGUUCUUCGGGAAAUCUGACAGCUCAACUGUUAGGCUUCCGGGGAAUACUGUCAGACUUGGGACCGGGAGAGGUAAGAGGUACUACAGGGGUAGGAGUGAAAUCUUGUAAUCCCUGUGGGACCACCAGUGGCGAAGGCGUCUUACCAGAACGGGUCCGACGGUGAGGGACGAAAGCUGGGGGCACGAACCGGAUUAUAUACCCGGGUAGUCCCAGCCGUAAACGAUGUUCGCUAGGUGUCAGGGACGGUGCGACCGUUUCUGGUGCCGUAGGGAAGCCGUGAAGCGAACCACCUGGGAAGUACGGCCGCAAGGCUGAAACUUAAAGGAAUUGGCGGGGGAGCAC